rnacentral:lncRNA from 1 species
GAAAUCAUCCGAUUGCUGUUCAAAAGUCAAUGUUGUGACUUCUCUUGGGAUUUCUUUAGUUGGGAUAUGGAUGCUGAUGUCAUUAUUUAGUAUACCUCUUGUAAACUCAGAGAUAUCUUCAACGUUGAAAGUUACCGAGAAACUAUCGGAGCAGUAUACAGGCAUUUCUGGCGAUUUUACAGUCAAUGCAAAGAGAGAAGAAGAUGCAACAUUCCAGGGAGAGAAGGGGUUUAGAAGGGGAAGGUCUAUGGAGGAGUUUUCAGAUGAAAAGGGGCUGGAUAGUUACCAAAAUGAGGAAAGGGAAGGAG